AGUGCAACUAGAACAGGCGUAAUUAACCCGUUCGAAAAGAAAGUAACCCUAUUUGCUUUUCUGUUGCACUUCCACCAACAAAUAGGG
rnacentral:sRNA from 1 species